rnacentral:misc_RNA from 1 species
CAGGCGCGGAAAUACCUUGCAAUUUUUGCGCUUUGCCCCCAUAUGCACCUUGCGAACGUUAUUCUAUUUCGACCUGUUGUCUCCCUAAACCGGCGCUCAGUCUUCGAUCCAGACAUACCUUGCCGGGCUGCCGCACCUACGCGGGCAGCAUUAAAUUUAGGAGAACACGGAUAUGGCUACUGGCACCGUGAAAUGGUUCAACACAACUAAAGGCUUCGGCUUUAUUGCCCCCGAUGGCGGCAGCAAAGACGUUUUCGUACACAUCUCGGCCGUUGAGCGGUCGGGCCUGUCGGGUCUUGCAGAUGAUCAAAAAGUAACAUUUGACAUCGAAGCCGGCCGUGACGGCCGCGAAAGCGCGAUCAACCUCGCUCUGGCAUAAGCCUUAGCAUCGGUUAAGAUUACAGGCGCGGCCCCCGAAACGGGGCCGCGUUUUGC